CACGUAGGGGGCAAGCGUUGUCCGGAUUUAUUGGGCGUAAAGAGCUCGUAGGCGGUUCGGUAAGUUGGGUGUGAAACCUCCAGGCUCAACCUGGAGACGCCACCCGAUACUGCUGUGACUAGAGUCCGGUAGGGGAGCGUGGAAUUCCUGGUGUAGCGGUGAAAUGCGCAGAUAUCGGGAGGAACACCGGUGGCGAAGGCGGUUCUCUGGGCCUGUGCUGACGCUGAGGAGCGAAAGCGUGGGGAGCAAACAGG
rnacentral:rRNA from 1 species